UUACCCCAUAACCCCACUAACUCACAGACACAUACACGAUUUAUAUCCAAAAGCAUUUAGAUGAAGUCAUUUAAAUUCAAAAUGUAACCAUAGCAAACCACUAACUCACGGAAUAAUAUCAACACGUAUAGUGAUGAGGAUGAUGAAAGAGAUACACAUCUUUACUUUGCUGAGUUCUUGAAAGAAAACAGGCGGAGAUUGGUGGGGACAAACUCCCUUAGCUUGAAAGGAUGGCACCUUUAACCCAUACGGUUGAUUAUCACGGAUUUAUCAUACAUCAUUCUACUCAGUUAUACGUUGCAUCGAUCUAGUGUAUUGAAAGUAAAAAAAAUGAAAAAUAAGUUUUGGUUGUUUUGCAAAUUCCAAAUAUAACUUCAAAUUGUAUUUAGAAUUUUUAUGGCCAAAUACCAUAAAGUGAAAAAAGUGGGAAAAAAUCCGAAAAAAAAUGGAUAAUUCUCAUGGACAAACAUGCCCUUAGACUUGCAUGUUGCAAGAUGACCAUUUAGCAUGCAGAAGCAACUUGUUAUAAUUACAAGAGACUUGCAUGUUGCAAGAUGACCAUUUAGCAUGCAGAAGCAGGUUGUGGUUUGAAGGACUAAGACAAGAAGCAUUUAAUUGAAGCAUGAAAGAGUCCCACCAUUGCCGAAGCCAUAAAUCUCAAUUGUAUGUAAGCCAAAAUCGAACAAACUGUUAUCCCUAUAUUUAAAAUAUAGACUGAAAAUAGAAAACGUUUAAAACAAAAGUGUAUUUUCGAGCCCAUGGAAAA